GUGCUUGCACCAAAUGAAACUAGAUACAAGCGAGCGGCGGACGGGUGAGUAACACGUGGGUAACCUGCCCAAGAGACUGGGAUAACACCUGGAAACAGAUGCUAAUACCGGAUAACAACACUAGACGCAUGUCUAGAGUUUAAAAGAUGGUUCUGCUAUCACUCUUGGAUGGACCUGCGGUGCAUUAGCUAGUUGGUAAGGUAACGGCUUACCAAGGCAAUGAUGCAUAGCCGAGUUGAGAGACUGAUCGGCCACAUUGGGACUGAGACACGGCCCAAACUCCUACGGGAGGCAGCAGUAGGGAAUCUUCCACAAUGGACGCAAGUCUGAUGGAGCAACGCCGCGUGAGUGAAGAAGGGUUUCGGCUCGUAAAGCUCUGUUGGUAGUGAAGAAAGAUAGAGGUAGUAACUGGCCUUUAUUUGACGGUAAUUACUUAGAAAGUCACGGCUAACUACGUGCCAGCAGCCGCGGUAAUACGUAGGUGGCAAGCGUUGUCCGGAUUUAUUGGGCGUAAAGCGAGUGCAGGCGGUUCAAUAAGUCUGAUGUGAAAGCCUUCGGCUCAACCGGAGAAUUGCAUCAGAAACUGUUGAACUUGAGUGCAGAAGAGGAGAGUGGAACUCCAUGUGUAGCGGUGGAAUGCGUAGAUAUAUGGAAGAACACCAGUGGCGAAGGCGGCUCUCUGGUCUGCAACUGACGCUGAGGCUCGAAAGCAUGGGUAGCGAACAGGAU
rnacentral:rRNA from 1 species